CCGGUUAGCUGUUUCACCAGCAGUCCCAGUGGAGGGAAGUAGGCCCAGGCGAGCAGGGUGUCGCAGCGUAAGUCCGACGAUGGCGGCGCAGUAGUCGAAUGGCGUCCACAUUUAGCCGACGAAGGCUGCGCUGAGCGCCAUACCCGCCUCACCUUAUCUCCGAGUCACGUGUUCAUGACUGACACGGGCAACCAUACGGCCCGUCGUUGCCCACGCGCACCCCAGACGGGGCCGCCAGUCGCGGCCCCGGACACGUCAGUCCCCAGAUCUGCAGUGAUGUCGCCCGGCUCUGACGAUGGCGCACAGCCGCCGUGUCCGCGGUCUCCGUCGCCGCCGCGGUAUGCGGCGCUGGGCGGCGACUCGUACAUGUCGCGGUCUCGCCAUUGGGGGCCGAACGAUUCGCGGCUCCCGCCGACCCCGCCGGCGACGAGUUUCCUCCGGCGAGUCCUGCGCCGUCUGGCGUGGUCGACGCUGCCCGGGAGGUUCCUGGCUGGCAAGCUGCUGCUGUGUCUACCGACGCACAGAGUUUUGUCGUGGCUGUGCUGUCCGCGGCCGUGCUCCACGGUUGCGACGUCUGCGGCCAAGCUGCCCGCUGCUGAGCUCCGCGGCCGAGCUGCCAGCGGCCGUGCUCUGCGGCCGUGCUCUGCGGUCGUGCUCUGCGGCCGUGCUUCCCGUGGCUGGGCCCUCCGUGGUCCCGUGAUCGUGGCCGCGGCGAGGGUGCCGCGACCUGCGCGAUGCCGUGCGCUGCAGUGAUGGCGCCGCGCACUGUGCAGUGAUUUUGCCGAGCGCUGCGUACGCGGUGGGUGCCGCGCGCCGCGCUGUUGAGCGUGCCGUAUUCGGACGGUGGCUGCCGCGCGCAGCGUGGUGAUUGCUGCGCUCUGCCAUGAGUGCCGCUCACUGCCGUGGCCUGAGUGCCGCGCUCGGACGGAGUGCCACGCGCCGUUGUGUUGCGUCGCCUUCUGCCUUUUGAUAUGUGCUAUCUCCGAAUUUAAUGUUGCUUGUUGCCGAUGUUCGCUUCUUUUCGUUAAGAGGGUCGGGUAUAGUCGGUCGAUUUAUUCGCACCGUUUGAUUUCGUACCGGCUUCUCUUCUGUUUCUUAUUGUUUUCUGCGAUGUCACUUGUCCGAUUUUAUAUCUGAUUAAUUCACGUCACUUAAGUAUUUAUUUUAUAUUGUCAUAAUAACUUACGGCGCUGUUCCUUUAUUUUCUGUUUAGUUGCAGCCCUAGUACCUUAAUUUCCGAUGUCUCUUCGGUUUGUUGUCGCUCGCAUGUUCAGAGAGUCCUGGUUGGCCGGCGCGAGCGGCGGUUGUGGAAUACAAGCUCGUCUGUGAA